UGUCUUGCUCAUUUAUUGAAUCUGACUCUAGCGUCUUUCAUAAAUGACAAAAUAUACUGCAGCACCGUGUUUACUUGUGGUCUUGUGGUUUUAAAACUAAAUCUCUGUGUCACAUGACACACGAGUGCCACGUAAAAAGAAUAAUGUAGUGGCAACUAUAACACCUUCAAAACAAAUUCGUAAUCCACUUCUCAUACAAAAUGCUUCAAUGUAAACAAAUAAUAUAGUCAUGACAGAUAAAAUAAUAAAUGAAUAAAAAAAAACAGGAGUUUGGCUGGUGUGGACCGGCACACGCCUCGGACCACCUCCGCAUUCUCUUCUCUGGGUGCUGUGCCUGCUUCCUGUUAGCCGUCUCUCCUUGACCCUCGGGCUGCCGAUCUCCUCCCUGAAGCAUACCUUUGUGCCAGGCCGUCUGUGUCACUUCCUGUCUCUCCCACCUGGUCCAACAAUCCGGUAAUUGAUGGCAGCCAGCUACUCUGAACCGGUUUGUCUGGCUAUGGGACGGCUUCCUGAGCGCCUCAGCCUCUCAGAGUGUUUGCACACAUCUGCAGCUUCUGUUUAUACAAGACUGGCACAAACGUCCUGCCAGGCACCUCUGCCUGCUCCCUUCAGUGGUACACAUGGACACGCAGUCGGCCACUAUUGCUGUGCUGUUUACCAGCACAGGUCAUCUCUGUCUCAAUUUAAAAUGGUUCACCUUAAUUAUAUGGCUUCAUAUGACUUGUUUUCCCUCCAUCCAAGCCUGAAUCACUCUCUCACUCUCUCUCUCUCUGUGUACGGCUUGCCUCUUACCCAGGCACUUAACUUCCUGUGAAAGGCAGGGGGAUGGAAUGGGCACGUGUGUCUGGAUGUGUGAGGGGCUGCAGCUACUGGGUAGUGCUGGUUUGGAGAGCGGGAGCAGGGAGGAGGCAGGAAGGAGACAGCCUUAGUCACGCAGAGAGAGGGAAGGGCCUACUGACUAACAAUCACUGAGUGUGUGGUAGAGAUGUGCUUCCUUCCUGAAAUUAAAAGUAGCGCUUCUCCUCUAUACUAUGGCUCCUUGCUGACACACAUUUUCUCGAGGGUGGGGUUCCGUAAUGUUGGGUAAGUGUCCAUUUUUAUUUUGGGAUGUCUGCAGCCUGAAUGAUGGUGCCGAAAAGAAUUUAGCUCUUUCUCCCUUUGGACAUUUAACAGUAUUUUCUUCUUAAAUUUUUACCUCCAAAGAUAACGUCAUAUAUCGAAGGCACUGGUUCGUGGCGCUUUGGAUGCGUAGCUAUGAGUUGGCAUCAACCAAAAGGUGCUGCUCGCAAAACCUCUCUCUGUCUACUGUUAUCUUUAAAUCAGAAAUCUGCUCCACGCUGGUUACACCCGGUUCCUCCGACUGCGACCUGGGGGCAAAACGGCGCACUGUGCCUUUAAACAAAGAAUGCGAGCGAUGCACCACAGCGCCUAGGCAACGGGUGCUGGGGCCUGCAGGAAUGUUGGCAGCCAUUCGAUUUCCUGCAGUCCUGUCCCAGGUGUUUAAGCUCCGGGAAAACAAACAGAAAGACAGAGAGAGGGAGAAAGAGAGAGAGAGAAAAAACCAAAAGCGACAGAGCAGAAGAGACAGACAGACAGGGAAUGACGGAGAUAGAGACGAUUUCGGCAAAAAUCCCAGACGUGAGGUCAUUUUCUGGCACAGCAAAAAGCUGAAACGACCGACCACUGGGCCAGUGAAAGAGGAAAACGUAACAAUCUCUGUCCUGCUCUGUUUAUUCCGAGGUUUUUUAUUGCAGACCACUGACAGUCUCACCCUACAGUAACUAAACGCCUGUAACCCAGCUGGAAGGCAGGAGGUUACUGAGAAACCCCCACCUGUAAAAUCUAGUCAAGGCUGCUCCCUUCCCUCCGCACAAAUCCUGACAGGACAUCUUGUAAAGGGUGUCAUUGAAUAACAUCUACUUCAAUAACGUCGCCUUCGGUCUGCCACAUUCAUCUGGCACGGAGGUUACUUCCUGACACCCUGAGUAAGUAAAGGCUUUCAUUUCACGGAAAUAAAGUGCUGACCUUGCCGGGAGGGUAGGCUAUGGAUGGACUUUGCCGAAGGCAGCGGCCGCGGACGAGCGGGAUGUUUCACAACGGCCCGACGGAGGAGGAACCCAGAACGGUUGCUCAAGCAUAAGCCCAAUCCUACAGACCUACAGGGUCAGUGAGCACACCCUUAUCUUAUGAAAGUCCUUCUGUGUUGUUACUUCGCACUGUUGCUCAAUGUCCUACCAGUACAGACAUCUCUGUGAAGACCUGAUUUCCAGGCCAACCAGUAGUAAAGAGCUGAAGGACAUGUGAAUAUCAGAGAUUCUGAAUCAAUAACGACCAUGCUUCAGUAGGUAGUUGAUACCUAACCAGAAUUGAUCCAGUGAUAUUUCUGAAAUAUAUUUUAAAUAUAAAUUGAUGUAUAUCACUGUAAAAUCAGUCAUUCUUCUUUUUAUGUACAUUCAGUUCAGAAAUAAUUGUAUACUCUGUUCUCAGGUCCAAUCUCUUGGCUCUGGUCACGGAUCUGAGGUACGUGUCAAUUCUUUUGUUAAAAGCACUCAAGGGACACAGGCUAAACCAAUAUCCUUCUGUAUAAUUCAUUGCCACCUCGAUUGGCACUGCCCAUUACAUGCCAUGUGGAUCAUCACGUGACACCUGCGGCUGACGAAUGAGCCGAGAGAAACAGGCAAGAAACACAGAAACAAUGUUGCAGGUAGAAGUUUCUGUGGAACUGCUAUUGUUCCCACUAUUGUCUAAGUCUUUGUUUUGGGAACACAGGGAGUAGCAUGGAUGGCCAUUGGAAGUUUCCAGAAGUUUCUGCCAAAGGGCGGCGAUGGAUGUUUAAAGGGCACAGAAAUGGUGCAAAGAUGGAAGGAGAGUGAGAGGCGGAGGCAGGAUGCAGAAACACGGCCACGUGCGGCACGGGGGCCAUGGGACCCCCUUCGGCGUGUCUCUCUGGCGACAGUCAACCAGAGCUAACGGGAGCUGACAGAAGCGGCUGGCCCCUGUCCCCUUCCUGAUUGUGCCAUUUAGUGUGAAGCUGUCACUCUGGGGCUUGUGCAGGGGACACAGGGUGACCUAACCCCAGGACAGAAGAAGCAAAUGCUGAAGUCUGGAAAAAAAAGAGCAUUUCUCCUGGUUAUUAUCUGCGUGUUUGCAUUCAUCAGCAAUCUUCUCAUUAAUGCUAGCUAGCUUGACAAUGACAUACACCAGCUACACAUACAUACAGCUUUAACCCUCUGUGCUUACAGUAUUUAUAUGAAAUAUAAUUUUUUUACAGUUCUUCUUCCAUAUAUAACACAAUUUUUGUUUUCCUUUAAAAAGCAAAGCCCAUCAAGGCUCUUUUCAAGCUCUUUUCUCAAUAAGACAUGAGAAAGUCUUGAAGAUGCCACACUUCAGACAUCGCUGCAUAUUAACCAUUCAUAUUUGCUUAAAAAAGAAAAACAUGAAGCAUUUUCAUAUUAGUGUUAUUUUCGAGGACAUCCCACAAUUGAUGAGAAGACAUUUUAAUGGUAUUGUUGGGACCUGGGGAAAAAAACAAAACCAAUAACCGUCACAUUAAUCUGACAAGCAUCACUUAAAUGGUAAAUCGCUUAUGAUAAUAUGUUUGCCCAGGGCGAAUUUAGAAACGAAAAGUCAAUAACAGGCAAUAGAUGAACUUUAGCCGUAGCGCUAAAUGCCACGGGACGACAUGCUGAUAUUUAACGAAGGUAAAGAGAAUUAAAUGAGCCUGAAAUCCUCAGAACACGUGCACGCCGUCCGUGAAUAAAAGGCGCAGCGCGGCGACUCCCAGGGCGGAGCAGAAACUGGACCCCACCCCGCACGUGAAGCGGGCUGCGCCGUGCCAAACAGCGGGGAGCAGCGGCGCACUCCUUCCAGACUCCAUGAGACAGGAGGACAGCUGAAGGAGGCUAAUUCUGUUCUCUAAUACCACACCUCCCCCCCUAAGGCCUGUUGUCGCAUUGUCUUCAUUUUUGAGCACUCUCUUUGCAUAAAGCCUUGACUUUA